rnacentral:rRNA from 1 species
ACUAAGCGUACACGGUGGAUGCCCUGGCAGUCAGAGGCGAUGAAGGACGUGCUAAUCUGCGAAAAGCGUCGGUAAGGUGAUAUGAACCGUUAUAACCGGCGAUGUCCGAAUGGGGAAACCCAGUGCAAUUCGUUGCACUAUCGUUAACUGAAUACAUAGGUUAACGAGGCGAACCGGGGGAACUGAAACAUCUAAGUACCCCGAGGAAAAGAAAUCAACCGAGAUUCCCCCAGUAGCGGCGAGCGAACGGGGAGCAGCCCAGAGUCUGAAUCAGCUUGUGUGUUAGUGGAACGGUCUGGAAAGUCCGACGGUACAGGGUGAUAGUCCCGUACACCAAAAUGCACAGGUUGUGAACUCGAAGAGUAGGGCGGGACACGUGGUAUCCUGUCUGAAUAUGGGGGGACCAUCCUCCAAGGCUAAAUACUCCUGACUGACCGAUAGUGAACCAGUACCGUGAGGGAAAGGCGAAAAGAACCCCGGCGAGGGGAGUGAAAAAGAACCUGAAACCGUGUACGUACAAGCAGUGGGAGCACCUUCGGGUGUGACUGCGUACCUUUUGUAUAAUGGGUCAGCGACUUAUAUUCUGUAGCAAGGUUAACCGUAUAGGGGAGCCGCAGGGAAACCGAGUCUUAACUGGGCGUUAAGUUGCAGGGUAUAGACCCGAAACCCGGUGAUCUAGCCAUGGGCAGGUUGAAGGUUGGGUAACACUAACUGGAGGACCGAACCGACUAAUGUUGAAAAAUUAGCGGAUGACUUGUGGCUGGGGGUGAAAGGCCAAUCAAACCGGGAGAUAGCUGGUUCUCCCCGAAAGCUAUUUAGGUAGCGCCUCGUGAACUCAUCUUCGGGGGUAGAGCACUGUUUCGGCUAGGGGGUCAUCCCGACUUACCAACCCGAUGCAAACUACGAAUACCGAAGAAUGUUAUCACGGGAGACACACGGCGGGUGCUAACGUCCGUCGUGAAGAGGGAAACAACCCAGACCGCCAGCUAAGGUCCCAAAGUCAUGGUUAAGUGGGAAACGAUGUGGGAAGGCACAGACAGCCAGGAUGUUGGCUUAGAAGCAGCCAUCAUUUAAAGAAAGCGUAAUAGCUCACUGGUCGAGUCGGCCUGCGCGGAAGAUGUAACGGGGCUAAACCAUGCACCGAAGCUGCGGCAGCGACACUAUGUGUUGUUGGGUAGGGGAGCGUUCUGUAAGCCUGCGAAGGUGUGCUGUGAGGCAUGCUGGAGGUAUCAGAAGUGCGAAUGCUGACAUAAGUAACGAUAAAGCGGGUGAAAAGCCCGCUCGCCGGAAGACCAAGGGUUCCUGUCCAACGUUAAUCGGGGCAGGGUGAGUCGACCCCUAAGGCGAGGCCGAAAGGCGUAGUCGAUGGGAAACAGGUUAAUAUUCCUGUACUUGGUGUUACUGCGAAGGGGGGACGGAGAAGGCUAUGUUAGCCGGGCGACGGUUGUCCCGGUUUAAGCAUGUAGGCUGAUUGUCCAGGCAAAUCCGGAUAAUCAAGGCUGAGGUGUGAUGACGAGGCACUACGGUGCUGAAGUAACAAAUGCCCUGCUUCCAGGAAAAGCCUCUAAGCAUCAGGUAACAUUAAAUCGUACCCCAAACCGACACAGGUGGUCAGGUAGAGAAUACCAAGGCGCUUGAGAGAACUCGGGUGAAGGAACUAGGCAAAAUGGUGCCGUAACUUCGGGAGAAGGCACGCUGGUGUGUAGGUGAAGUCCCUGCGGAUGGAGCUGAGACCAGUCGAAGAUACCAGCUGGCUGCAACUGUUUAUUAAAAACACAGCACUGUGCAAACACGAAAGUGGACGUAUACGGUGUGACGCCUGCCCGGUGCCGGAAGGUUAAUUGAUGGGGUUAUCCGUAAGGAGAAGCUCUUGAUCGAAGCCCCGGUAAACGGCGGCCGUAACUAUAACGGUCCUAAGGUAGCGAAAUUCCUUGUCGGGUAAGUUCCGACCUGCACGAAUGGCGUAAUGAUGGCCAGGCUGUCUCCACCCGAGACUCAGUGAAAUUGAACUCGCUGUGAAGAUGCAGUGUACCCGCGGCAAGACGGAAAGACCCCGUGAACCUUUACUAUAGCUUGACACUGAACAUUGAGCCUUGAUGUGUAGGAUAGGUGGGAGGCUUUGAAGCGUGGACGCCAGUCUGCGUGGAGCCAACCUUGAAAUACCACCCUUUAAUGUUUGAUGUUCUAACGUUGGCCCCUUACCGGGGUUGCGGACAGUGUCUGGUGGGUAGUUUGACUGGGGCGGUCUCCUCCCAAAGCGUAACGGAGGAGCACGAAGGUUAGCUAAUCCUGGUCGGACAUCAGGAGGUUAGUGCAAUGGCAUAAGCUAGCUUGACUGCGAGCGUGACGGCGCGAGCAGGUGCGAAAGCAGGUCAUAGUGAUCCGGUGGUUCUGAAUGGAAGGGCCAUCGCUCAACGGAUAAAAGGUACUCCGGGGAUAACAGGCUGAUACCGCCCAAGAGUUCAUAUCGACGGCGGUGUUUGGCACCUCGAUGUCGGCUCAUCACAUCCUGGGGCUGAAGUAGGUCCCAAGGGUAUGGCUGUUCGCCAUUUAAAGUGGUACGCGAGCUGGGUUUAGAACGUCGUGAGACAGUUCGGUCCCUAUCUGCCGUGGGCGCUGGAGAAUUGAGGGGGGCUGCUCCUAGUACGAGAGGACCGGAGUGGACGCAUCACUGGUGUUCGGGUUGUCAUGCCAAUGGCACUGCCCGGUAGCUAAAUGCGGAAGAGAUAAGUGCUGAAAGCAUCUAAGCACGAAACUUGCCCCGAGAUGAGUUCUCCCUGAGACUUUAAGUCUCCUGAAGGAACGUUAAAGACGAUGACGUUGAUAGGCCGGGUGUGUAAGCGCAGCGAUGCGUUGAGCUAACCGGUACUAAUGAACCGUGAGGCUUAACC